GCAGAAUUCCAUGAUUGUUCUCUCAGCCACUCCCAUACUAGUGAACCAAGCACUGGUAAAAAAUUUGGAGACUGAGGCUGGUGACAUUGGUUCAGAGCCUUGACGAUUACCAGGGCCAGCAUUUCUGCGAUCCUCCUUACCUUUUCCUCAUGCCUCUUCACUUGUGAUCACAUUAUGGCUACUGCUGCUCUGGACCUCGGUCACAUCUGUGAUCAAGGGUGGAGGAAGGUCAAAGGGAAAAGGAUGUGUCAGCGGAUUUCUUCUUACAUCUCAUUGGACAACGUGGAGGAGGUCAUCGAGAGGAGUAGGUUUCAAAAUCGAGACAUCAUAACAGUGAUGGUGGCUUGGCCUAGGCCCUGAAGAGAUGGCAGUGGAUGGCUUCAAGGCAUAUUUUGGAGGUGGAAUCAGCAAGAGCAGGUGAUUAUUAAAUGGGG
rnacentral:lncRNA from 1 species